AUUGCAAGACAUACAGGGCGAGCAAGGAUGAAAAUCGGACUUAGUGAUCCGGUGGUUCUGCGUGGAAGGGCCAUCGCUCAACGGAUAAAAGCUACCCGGGGGAUAACAGGCUUAUCUCCCCCAAGAGGCCACAUCGACGGGGAGGUUUGGCACCUCGAUGUCGGCUCAUCACAUCCUGGGGCUGUAGUAGGUCCCAAGGGUUGGGCUGUUCGCCCAUUAAAG
rnacentral:rRNA from 1 species